rnacentral:rRNA from 1 species
AGAGUUUGAUCCUGGCUCAGGACUAACGCUGGCGGCGUGCCUAACACAUGCAAGUCGAACGAGGUAGCAAUACCUAGUGGCAGACGGGUGAGUAACACGUGGUCAACCUGCCUCCGUGUGGGGGAUAGCUAGCCGAAAGGUUAGCUAAUACCGCAUACGAUCGCCCUGGGGCAUCCCUAGGCGAUGAAAGGAGCAAUCCGCACGGAGAGGGGACUGCGUCCCAUUAGUUAGUUGGUAGGGUAACGGCCUACCAAGACUGCGAUGGGUAGCUGGCUUGAGAGAGUGACCAGCCACACUGGAACUGAGACACGGUCCAGACUCCUACGGGAGGCAGCAGUGAGGAAUUUUCCGCAAUGGGCGCAAGCCUGACGGAGCGACGUCGCGUGUGGGAAGAAGGCCUUCGGGUCGUAAA